rnacentral:tRNA from 1 species
GUACGUGUAGCUCAAUUGGAUAGAGCGCAUGGCUACGGACCAUGAGGCUACGGGUUCAAGUCCUGUCACGUACA